rnacentral:tRNA from 1 species
GCGGAAGUGGUGGAAUUGGUAGACACGCCAUCUUGAGGGGGUGGUGACUUCGGUCGUGCGGGUUCAAGUCCCGCUUUCCGCA